rnacentral:lncRNA from 1 species
UGGGCGUUGCAGGGCCUCUCCCCCCAUCCGGUCUAAGGAGAACCGGGCCUUCGACUUUGCUCAUGUUAGGGCGAGGUUCUCCUCCUGUCCCUAACAGGACUGUGGGGGCACAUAUGGGCAUUACAGGGCCUCUCCCCCAUCCGGUCUAAGGAGAAUCGGGCCUUCGACUUUGCUCAUGUUAGGACGAGGUUCUCCUCCUGUCCCUAACAGGGCUGUGGGGGCACA